AACGAACGCUGGCGGCAUGCCUAACACAUGCAAGUCGAACGAGAUCUUCGGGUCUAGUGGCGCACGGGUGCGUAACGCGUGGGAAUCUGCCCUUUGGUUCGGAAUAACAGUUGGAAACGACUGCUAAUACCGGAUGAUGCCGAAAGGCCACAGAUUGAUCGCCAGAGGAUGAGCCCGCGUAGGAUUAGCGAGUUGGUGUGGUAAAGGCGCACCAAGGCGACGAUCCUUAGCUGGUCUGAGAGGAUGAUCAGCCACACUGGGACUGAGACACGGCCCAGACUCCUACGGGAGGCAGCAGUGGGGGAUAUUGGACAAUGGGCGAAAGCCUGACCCAGCAAUGCCGCGUGAGUGAUGAAGGCCUUAGGGUUGUAAAGCUCUUUUACCCGGGAUGAUAAUGACAGUACCGGGAGAAUAAGCUCCGGCUAACUCCGUGCCAGCCGCCGCGGUAA
rnacentral:rRNA from 1 species